UAGGUUAUGUUCUUUUCCUCAUCUAGAAUUUGCAUCCAAAUCGAUGAUUUGUUAUUUUGACUGAAUCAUCUAUCUAAAUGAAUUCGAAAAAUUGACCUAAUCUUUAAAACUCAUGAAUGAUGCUCAAUUUUGCAUAUACACGUAAAUCAGUUUGCAGCUUCAUCCAAAUGAAUUAUCUGAAUGAGCAAACGAACAGCGGAACAUGGCCUAACUCUAAUGGAAGAAGAAAUAUAAUAUAAGGAAA
rnacentral:sRNA from 1 species